AGAUCAUUUUGUCACCAUCAGGUCGAAAUCUGUGUGAGGAUCUAAAGUCUGAUGGUGGAAAUUUUGUGCGGUGCACAUCCACAUCUUCCCUGGAUGAUAUCUGUCAGUCUAACACACACUCCAAGCUCAGAUGCUCCCUCAUAGAGCUCAAGCACCCCAACCCAACUCCGGAGCCAGAGACAGAAUCCUGCAGCUGGGAAACGCCUCGCUUUUGUGACUGCACCGCUUUCUGUAAUUCUGCA